rnacentral:lncRNA from 1 species
AUCACUUGUACUAUGCAGGGAUCCUGCUUCACUAGCAAGUAAUCCAUUUAACAACCAUUCUAUGGUGAGGUAUUCAAAAACAGAGUAAAAGAACAACAUGAGAGAGAACUUUUCUUGCCUGAGUUCACUGUUUAGCCAUACCUCUAGGUUCUAUAAUAUCCAAUUCUAAACAAAAUGCACGAUCAAUUGCCUGGCUCAUUAAUAAGAAUUUUAUUUUAUAUAAUAUAAUGACUAUAAUGUAUAAAACCAUGUAUAUGUUAGCAUUCACAUCAGCCACCUAAGAUCUAAAUUAAACUAGAGAUUUUCUAGGGCUAAUGUAGAAACAAAAUAUCAUUAAUAAUUUUUGCUGAGAAUUGUGUCAUGGUGCUGCCUGUGCCCUGGACCACCCACUGCCAGACCCUAAUUGCCAUUGGGGUUGGAGGUGACAAAGAAUCAAAGCACAGAACCAGAAGCAGUUAAGAAACAUGCCAGCAAACUCAUCCUAACCUUGCUGCAAGCUCUAUCAAUACCUUUAACCCAUUUCCCAUUGUUCCCAAGAAAGUGUCUCUUCUAAACAGCAGUUCCUGAUUGGCUGUCAUUGGCUGUUGCAGCAAUCCUUCGUCUCUCAGGCAGUCCUAAGUUAGAUCCUCUUGCAGGAGAUGCUUUUGAGGUUGUGUGGCCACCAUAAUCUAUGCAGAAGUGGUUAC